rnacentral:rRNA from 1 species
GACGAACGCUGGCGGCGUGCUUAACACAUGCAAGUCGAGCGAUGAAGUUCCUUCGGGAACGGAUUAGCGGCGGACGGGUGAGUAACACGUGGGUAACCUGCCUCAUAGAGGGGAAUAGCCUUCCGAAAGGAAGAUUAAUACCGCAUAAGAUUGUAGUAUCGCAUGAUACAGCAAUUAAAGGAGUAAUCCGCUAUGAGAUGGACCCGCGUCGCAUUAGCUAGUUGGUGAGGUAACGGCCCACCAAGGCGACGAUGCGUAGCCGACCUGAGAGGGUGAUCGGCCACAUUGGGACUGAGACACGGCCCAGACUCCUACGGGAGGCAGCAGUGGGGAAUAUUGCACAAUGGGGGAAACCCUGAUGCAGCAACGCCGCGUGAGUGAUGACGGUCUUCGGAUUGUAAAGCUCUGUCUUCAGGAACGAUAAUGACGGUACCUGAGGAGGAAGCCACGGCUAACUACGUGCCAGCAGCCGCGGUAACAC